CGGAGAGGGCGCCUGAGACCCUUUUUACCACAUCCAAGGAAGGCAGCAGGCGCGCAAAUUACCCAAUCCCAACACGGGGAGGUAGUGACAAUAUGUAACAAUAUACGGCCUUAUACGUCGUAUAAUUGGAAUGAGCACAAUUUAAAUCCCUUAACGAGGAACAAUUGGAGGGCAAGUCUGGUGCCAGCAGCCGCGGUAAUUCCAGCUCCAAUAGCGUAUAUUAAAGUUGUUGCAGUUAAAAAGCUCGUAGUUGGACCUUGGACCUGGACAGGCGGUCCGCCUCACGGCGAGUACUGUCUUGCUGGGUCUUUCCUCUUGGUGAUCUGUUGUUUCGGCAGCAGGGAACCAGGACCUUUACUUUGAAAAAAUUAGAGUGUUCAAAGCAGGCUCGACGCCGGAAUAUAUUAGCAUGGAAUAAUAAAAUAGGACGUGCGGUUCUAUUUUGUUGGUUUUUGGAAUCGCCGUACUGAUUAAUAGGGACAGUCGGGGGCAUUAGUACUCACAUGCUAUAGGUGAAAUUCUUGGAUUUUGUGAAGACUAACUUCUGCGAAAGCAUUUGCCAAGGAUGUUUUCAUUAAUCAAGAACGAAGGUUAGGGUAUCGAAAACGAUUAGAUACCGUUGUAGUCUUUAACAGUAAACUAUGCCGACUAAGGAUCGGUCGAUGUUAUCUUUUUGACUCGAUCGGCACCUUACGAGAAAUCAAAAGUUUUUGGGUUUUGGGGGGAGUAAUGGUCGCAGGGCUG
rnacentral:rRNA from 1 species